rnacentral:lncRNA from 1 species
AAACCCUGUCUCUAUUAAAAAUACAGAAAGUAGCCAGGCAUGGUGGCAUGUAUCUGUAGUCCCAGCUACUCAGGAGGCUGAGGCAGGAGAAUCGCUUGAACCCGGGAGGUGGAAGUCACAGUGAGCCAAGAUCACACCACUGCACUCCAUACUGGGCAACAGACAGAGUGAGACACUGUCUCAAAAAAUAGAAUAAAAAUAAAAUAACGAAAGGAGGGGAUGACCCCCUGUGUAUAGAAUGCUAAAUACCACACAGCUACACACUCCCAUUUGUUGCCUCUAGUUCUAGUCAAAGACUACUUGAAACUCUUAGAAAGCAAUAAUUUCCUUAGGCAAUCCACAAUCCCUGGGGGCUUGGAAUGUAAAUGGAUGAACAAAUGCCUGAAGGUACCUGAUUAACUCAAUAUUUCAUAAUCUCAACAGGUAGACAUUAUCUCCACAGUAAGUCCAGGGAAACUGGCAUUCAGAAAAGUUAAAUAAUUUGAUCACAUAGCUAGCUGGGUUUCAAGCCCAUGUUCCUGUGAUUCUAAGAAAACUUCAGUGUAUAGAUUCUCUUCUCCCUCGUUACCUUUUCCUUACCACAUCCUCCCAUCUCCCCAACCUAUAUGUUAGGAUCCCAGAAGAAAGCAGAUAGUACCUUAGAUGAUUGAGGUGAUAUUAAUAAAGGGAGUAUUUAGGAAGGUGUGGAUUUGAACACAGCAACAAAUCAUGGGGCAACACCCUGGCACUGAAUAAAAACAAUGCAAUUACCUAGGCUGAAGAGAAGGGAGCAGUUGUCAGAAACUAGAGAGGGCCAUCCAACAAGAGCUGUGGCCUUUUGCUAGAGGGAUGCAGCCAACCUGCAGGGACCCAAAAAGGAGGAACCAGGCAAAAAAAUUUACUCUGCUACUCUUUGAUCUCCUGCCAAAUCCAAACAGAAGCCACAGGACAAAAUAUCUGUUGGUGCAUUGCAACCAGGUAAGCCUCAUGGGGCACAGAGCAUAGGACCCAGAUCUAAAGAGGCAAGCAGAAGAUGUCCCACAUACCAUCCAUUCUCUGCUACUUUCAACUCGAGUGAUCUUGCUAGGGCUUUGGGAGAGAUGAAAUGAAAGGUAUAAAUUUAUGUGAAAGCUAGAGAACUAUUUCUAGUACAGAGGAUUUGUAUGGCUACAGAAAGGAGACUCAAGGAGAAGUACAUUAGACUGUUGGAGCUCUUUGCCAUGUUGUGGGUCACUGAUGCUAUCAGCAUUUGAGGUAGAUGAGGUAGAGUUUGGGAUAUGUCAAGCAUAGGUAGAUAAGUCAUGAACUUUCUGCCUCCUUCUAUCCCAGAAGCCCUUUUAGCCUCCUCUGUCCUCAGCCAUCAUUGCUUUCUUUCCUUUCCAUGGCUAUUUCCUUUCCUCUUCCCCAAAUUCUUACCAACCAGGAACAGAACCAUCAUUAGUUUGAACCAUAUUGUUUCAAGAGCUAGAAUAAAGCUAGAGAAUGGCUCCAUGUAGAGAAUAUCAGGGCAAACAUCAGUACUAGGAAACUGAAAUAAUCUUUUGAUUGUUUUCAGAAGAUAUGAAUUCCCAGCAAGGAGCCAGAAAGGGUUAUACAGAAGCAGAAGAUGAAUGUGAUUUCUGAAUGAGAUUAAAACAAGAAAGGCUGGAAUAAGAACAGGCAUAAGGACCCUAGGACAGGAAGGAGAGCCGAGAUGCCUGGGGCAUGGUGACUACUAACCUGAUUCAGGAGUAAGCCUUGAUUCACUCAGUCCUAAGAGAUCGAUUAUAACAAAUGAUAACUAGAAUGACGAGAGGUGAAAAAAUAAAAAAGAGGGAAAGGCCAGGCACAGUGGCACAUGCCUAUAAUCCCAGCACUUUGGGAGGCCAAGGCGGGCAUGUCACUUGAGCUCAGGAGUUCAACACCAGCCCAGGCAAUAUGGCAAAACCCCAUCUCUACAAAAGAAGAUACAUAUAUAUACACAUAUAUACACACACAAAAAAAUACAAAAAACUAACUGGGUGUGGUGAUGCACACCUGUAGUCCCAGCUACUUGGGAGGCUGAGGUAAGAGGAUUGUUUGAGCCUGGGAGACAGAGGUUGCUGUGAGCUGAGAUUGCACCACUGCACUCCAGUCUGGGCAACAGAGUGAGGCUCUGUCUCAAAAAAAAAAAAAAAAAAA